AAUGAGAAACCAGCCAGUUGGUCCCGCAGCUGUGAUGAACAGGCCUCCGCGUUAGUCUUUCCCUUCCUGACGCUCCUCUGCGGGGGAGACUGAACGGGCUGCCCCUGCACAGCCUCCCCUCCCCGGUCCUCCCGCAGCCCCCUCUGCGCCCACACGCAAAUCCCAUGGACCCGAAGAGGAAAGAGGACAAGAGCGGGACAGCCCGUGCAAAGCCGCCCAGCGGUGUGUGCGGACCCAGUGCUAGAAGGUAGAUCCACUACAUCUUCCAGUCUUCAUGAAGUGGCCUCAAAAAGAAGUUCUCCUGUGGGGUCCAGUGGAACUAUCACCCCUGGUUACCAGAGCCAGGACCCAGGCACUUCUGGAACCGCUGCUUCUGCGCUGGAGCUUGGAGCGGG